AGUUCCACAGAAUUGCAGGUAUCAGUCUAAGGAGUAAUUAAUUUAUGUCAUAAAGCUUUGAGACUUGAAGCACUAAUCAGUCAAUUUGAUAUAUUUUAGGGUUUCCAGGUGUGAUUGGCUGCAUAGAUGGCACUCAGAUUCGUAUCAUAGCUCCUUCAAUAAAUGAAGGAGAUUAUGUGAAUAGGAAAUCUGUCCACAGCAUUAAUGUACAGAUCAUAUGUGACGCAGCCCACAUGAUAAAUAAUGUGGAAGCGAAGUGGCCUGGGUCUGUGUAUGACUCGUGAAUGUUUCGUGAGUCUACACUGAGUGCCAGAUUUGCCCGUGGAGAGUUUGAUGGUUAUCUACUCGGAGACAGAGGGUACCCCUGCCAGCGCUAUCUGCUGACCCCUUACCCUGACCCUGACCCUUGCCCACAGCAACACUACAACUUGGCUCACUGCAGGACACGAGCCAGAGCGGAGAUGACCAUCAGCAUACUCAAGGCCCGGUUCCAGUGCCUUCGUAGGCUCAGGGUCACCCCGGAAAGGGCUUGUGACAUUAUAGUG